AUCCUUUUUUGGUUUAUAUGCGUGAUGACUGGGUAUUCACAUGCAUGUGUGACAUGUGCUGCCCUCAAAUUUUGUUACACACUGGCACAUUAUCAGUCUGAUG